rnacentral:rRNA from 1 species
UACGGAGGGGGCUAGCGUUGUUCGGAAUUACUGGGCGUAAAGCGCACGUAGGCGGCUUUGUAAGUUAGAGGUGAAAGCCCGGGGCUCAACUCCGGAACUGCCUUUAAGACUGCAUCGCUUGAAUCCGGGAGAGGUGAGUGGAAUUCCGAGUGUAGAGGUGAAAUUCGUAGAUAUUCGGAAGAACACCAGUGGCGAAGGCGGCUCACUGGACCGGUAUUGACGCUGAGGUGCGAAAGCUAGGGGAGCAAACAGG